UACGGAGGGUGCGAGCGUUGUCCGGAAUCAUUGGGCGUAAAGGGCGCGUAGGUGGCUUCUUAAGCGUGCGGUGAAAGCCUGGGGCUCAACCCCGGGUCGGCCGUGCGAACUGGGGGGCUGGAGCACUGUAGAGGCAGGCGGAAUUCCGGGUGUAGCGGUGGAAUGCGUAGAGAUCCGGAAGAACACCGGUGGCGAAGGCGGCCUGCUGGGCAGUUGCUGACACUGAGGCGCGCCAGCGUGGGGAGCAAACAGG
rnacentral:rRNA from 1 species